GUCAGAAGUAACUGGUGGAUAAAGCAGACAAACUGGGCAGGGUUGCAUUGGGAGGGUGAAGUAACAAGAAAACUGAGCCAAACAGUAGAGGAGAAGUCAUAGCUUGUCAUUUGCCCAAUCAAUGCUAGAUCAGAGUUAUUUGUAACACCAAGGCUGGGUAGGUUUAAAAAAGAUUUUUAAAGGAGGGUAAGUUGGUGGUUUUAUGAAUUGUGAUAAGGCACUUUUCCCCACUAUAUUAGGAUAACCGGGGGAAAAGGUAGGAAGGUGCUUGAGUGAGAGGAGAAGCAGCAGAUGAUGAAUGCUUGCUUCACUGGCAGAGGAGAAGCAGAAGUCAGUGAGGAGUCAGGAGCAAUGUUAGAAGAUAAAAGAGAAAGGAGGGCAUGUAGACUUGUGCAACUGAGAGAUUAAUGUAGUUUGACUGACAAGUCAGAAAGAUGACCCUUGAACCAAAAGAUGUUGAAUAAUUUUGACAAUGCAUGGCAAUGAGGCUGGCAUUAAGCCAAAGAGAGGGUGAUAAUUUUGGUGAAGUACAUGAGGAAGGACAACAGCCAGCAAAUACUUGGACAAGAGCCUUAGAAGCCUGGACAAACCAUAAAGCCUGAGUCUUUGAACAUUAUGUGGGUUAAAGAGACAAGACUUGAGGCAAGACUUGGACUUGACCUGUGUGUGUAGGUCAGUGAAGAUGCCAAGCUCAAAAUGUCAGGUUGGAGAUGUUGAUUUUAGCCACUCUGGGGCUGAUCCAGCUACCCCUGAACUUUGUGUGGUCUUGCAAUUGAUGCUGCACUAGCACUGAGUCUUCUGUGCCUAAGUCUGUGCACUGAGGAGAUUAUAAGAUCCAUUGGCCUGGUUACAAGAUCCACAAAUAUUGCCUAUGGACUUUACAAGUUCUAUAUUUUUGAGCCAGCUUCCACAAGAAUAUUUGAUGAGGCAUCGUUUUCAUGGAACUGUUGGCUGUGUUACUACAGUUCGCAAGAAUCACAUACUUUAUUAAGUAAAUCUUUGUAGGGGAGGACACUGAAGACCUUUAUCCAAUUUUAAAAUGAACUACUGAAGUCGCUCACAUUACAGUUUGUAUGCCUAUAUGUUGCCUUUCCCUUAACAUGCUAAACUGUGAGGAUAAGGACCUCCUUUAUUUAGAUGUUUACUCAGCAUCAGGCAAAAUGAAACCAUGAAUUCCUAUUAAGCCCAUUGUGCCCUCUUGAAAAAACAAUAAAUAAA
rnacentral:lncRNA from 1 species